GAUUUGGGCAAUAAGUUGCUCAAUUGUUUUUUUUUUUUUUUUUGUUGCCAAAGUGGGGAGUGGGAAAAACUGACACACAUAAGGAUUUAAACGCAAGACCACUUAAGAGCACACCAAAGACAUGGGCCAAUCCAACUAACACCCCCAUUCGUCAGCUCACUUCAGACGAUAUGGGUUUCCUUAACUGUGAAUAUGAUCGUGAUACUUGUGAGUUUCACAUUGUGCAAGGAAAAUUUUGUGCACUUUCAUAAGGUAAAAUGUCAAUUGGAGGAGAGCAAAAGGAGCAACACGAAUUUUAGAAAUAUUUGUAGCUACUGUUCUUCCAUUCAUAUUUUUUCUAAUUCUCGAUAUUGUCUUGGUCACAUCCUUGAAAUUAAACAAAAAAUAUGAGAAAAACAAACAUCGGCCAUUUUUCAUGAAACAAAACAGAACUAGCUAAAAAUCUUGAAAAAUAGGAACUCGCACAUUGAGAUCAUUUGGAGCUUCCUUUGAACAGCAAAUGACAAGAUACUCGUAGGUUUCGGCAGCCCCUCAACGGUUGGCCUUGGCAACUCUUUCAAUCUCAUCCUUCUUCUUUAUAGCGUAACUGAGCACAAACAGAACAACCAAUAGUCAGAAAAGUAUCAAGUUGAAGAAAACGAAAUUAGACUAAACUAAACAUAACAAAACAGAAAUAAACAAUGAGAUAGAUGAGCUUUCAGAGAAAAUAAACAUAAAGAAAGCAAUGUAUCAGUACCUAUUAGAUGAACCUUUUGCAGCAUUAAUCAGUUCGUCGGCCAAACAUUCUGCAAUAGUUUUGAUGUUUCUAAAAGCAGAUUCACGAGCACCAGUUGUAAGGAGAUAGAUAGCCUGAUUCACGCGUCUCAAAGGUGAAAUAUCCACAGCCUGACGCCUAACAACUCCAGCAGAUCCAAUACGAGUUGCAUCUUCUCGUGGACCACUGAUGGUCACAAAGAAGACAUACAAUUGGAAUCAGUAUUUCCAUAAGGGUCACCAUCCAAUGUGGUUAGAGUACCCAGAAGACUUCCAAAGUCAGAAAGUAAUCAGGAUCAAUUUUAUUAAAAGACCACUUGAGGUUCCCCUCCAGCAUCAAUACCUUCUACAGACCCUAAGCACAGGGCAAGUAUGCAAUUACUAUGAGGAAUAUAAUAACAAAUUUGCAUCCACUUACCUAUUAACAACAGCGUCAACAAUAAUUUGAAUGGGAUUCUGAUCAGUCAGCAAAUGGAUAAUUUCCAUUGCAUGCCUAAUGAUCCUUACAGCCAUAAGUUUCUUCCCAUUGUUCCUGCCAUGCAUCAUGAGUGAGUUUGUAAGCCUCUCCACUAUAGGGCACUGGGCUUUCCUGAAUCGUUUGACUGAGUACCUCCCGGCAGUGUGAGGUACAUAAGUUGCAUGCUUGGCUGGGACAACUCCAACAUAGUCCGCCAGUGAAAUGUCACUGACCUAUAUGUUACAAAUAACAUGAUUAUCAUUUUAAAUAUACAAGGGAAAUAGAUUUCAGUAUUUGUCUAACACAUGAAAAUUAUCUAAACGUCCAUAAAACUUUACCAAAAUAAAUUAUUUUUAAAAAACACGAAAAAACUUAAAAUCAGUGUAAAGAUGAAGCCAAGGGCACCAAACAAUAAGAAAAUCAACUGUUAGCAUUAGCCUACUAAGUUACACCUACUGUGAAUCAAAUCAACACAAGGACACACAGGAUGCACUUAUUACAAAUCUAAAACCUAACAAAAGCCAGUCCCAAUUACCGACAUUUAGCAACACAUACGCUAUGUUUUCUUCCGACUACCCAACAGGGGAAACAUGCAUCUAGACACAGUAUUUAAGAGCUCAAAGUACAGCUACAUUAAACCUGAACAUCAUCGAAGCUCCAGCGGUUGAACAGCUUCACGUCAAGGUGAGGCUCAAUUGGUACCGUUUGUACCGUUGGUGCCGUUGGUGCCGUUGGUUCCACUGCAACAGACAUGGCUCUGCAUAACGCAAUCGAAGAUCUAAGGUUAAGAGUGUUAAAUUGAAAAAGAGGUUGGUUGUGAUUUUAAAUUCUUUGUUCAAUUAAAAUACUCACUGAAAAUUCAAGUAUAAAAUGUGAAAGGAAUUUCAUUGUAAGUAACAACGACGAAUGAUAAAGCUUACCUCUUCGUCGGAGGUUGGACCUUCAGACGAGAAUGCGAGAGAGCUUGUACAGAGUGGUGCUGAACACAGGAAAACCCUAGUUCAUGUUUAUAAGCACGACUGACCUGAAAAUUACCUUAAGGUCCUUUAAGGGUAGUAGGGUCUUUUCGUUUUUAUUUUAUUUUUAUAGAUUACAAUGUUUGAGAUUCAUCAAACUUCAAAUUAAUCUCUCUCUGGUUUUUAUUGCUAGAUUAAGCCUUGUGCAUUGCCGUCUCUUCAAUCUCAAUAUGAAUGGAUUAGUCAAGCCAUUUUUGCCUUACUUGUUGGCUAUAUAUGCACAAGCUGGAUGGUAAGCAUGUAAGGCUCGCAGAUUAUUUUCAUGUGGAGGGACGAGCACAUGUGGCUUUUAAAAUUUCGACCUCUUGUUUGUUCAUAUAAUUGCUUUUCACUUGCUUCUGAGUCAUGACUUCCGCCAUAUCCUUGAACCAUAAGAUGUUUUUCCUCUUUCAAAAAAUAUUAAAGCCUAAAGCUAUCAUGAUUUUCACUUCUAGCAUCCAGCAGAUAAAGUCGGGAAUAUAGGAGCAUCUACAUGAUUUCUCAACGAUUUAUUAAAAAUUUCAACUUUGAAGCAGCAGCAAACUAUUGAGACAAAUUUGAUACUCAAUACCUCAGAGCUCAGGGUAGAAGGAAAUCAAAGAUUUGACACAGAAACCAGGAAUAUUUGUUACUUGUUCAAACAAAACCUAGGGCUUUUUUCCGACAUAGAAGUUUAGCAAGAUUCGAUAAAGAACUCACAUCAGAACAAUCAAGUCUACGUUGCUAGUAAAUACCAAGACACAUAAACUAAAAAAAAUACGAACAGAGAUUGGCAACACAACUGCCAUUCAUCAACAUAAACAACAGUUGCUUGCAAGUAACCAAAACUUCGAAGUUCAAGCAUCAACAAACAAGAGCCAUCUCUGAUCAACGCAACCUUCUAGCUUCCCUCUCAGACUCGAGCAAGGUAAGGAUAUCCCCCUCCCUCACUGGUCCCUUGACGUUCCUCAUGAUGAACCGGUUCUGGUCAUCCAGAAACUUGACUCUAACUUGAGUCACCUGCCCACGAGAUCCAGUCCGGCCCAUAACUUUCACCACAACAGCAUGCUUCACAGUGGAGUCCAUUCUACACGCAAAUACAAAAGGAAAAUUAGCAAGAGAACACUCUUGUAGCAGUCGGUCGCCACCAGGAAAGCAACAAAGUCAAGAGGCCAGACUAUUAUAUUCAGCAUUACGAUAGGAAAUAGAACACGAGCUACAAACUACAAAAACCGAGCAAAGAACUAAAUGGGGUAUCAUAAUUUCAUCUUAUUUUCCGAUAACUGAAUCCUCGAAAAAUAUCAGAAUUAUACAGCAGCACCAAAAAUUGUCCUACAAAACACACUUCAAUUCCAUAGCACACUAGUAAAUCAAACCGAAACACCAAACAAAAGCCAACUACAAGCUAAUUACAAUUUUCAAUGUACAUGAACACAAACAGAACAUAAGUCAUAAGUUAUUUUUUCCCCAUAAUCCACUUUGAUUGAUGGCAUAAGGAAAGCUGCAAUCAACCAGAUCUAAUUCCCUAAACAAAUAAUGAGCAUAAAUCUUGAUUUAUACAGUCACGAAAGUUUGAUAUAAUUCCCUAAUUCCAUGAACACUUUUCUCAUCUUAUUUUAAAGAUCUAAAAACAACAUAAUAACAGUCAUAAUCUGAAUUUAUGAGUAUUGGGUUGAGUAAAUAAUCCAGCCAAAAACGCAAACAGCGAUUGAAAGUUUCAGAGAAUAAAUCGCUCAAUAAAGUAAAUAAAAAUGCAAACAGAGAUUGGAAAUAACAAUACUGAAGAUUACGCAUUUACAGAAGAGUGAGAAAUUCACCUUUGGUAGAGAGAGAGUCUUCAAAGGAAAAGUGACGAGAAGGAGUGCGCGGCUGCGUCAAGGAGAGAAAAAAAAUGCGUGCGUCUGCGUUUAGGGCACUAGGGUUAUCAAAGGUUUUUCUUUUAUAGUGAUUUUUUUUUCCUUUAAAAAUGUAAUAUUUUAUUUAUUUAUGGAUUGCUUAUUCAAAGCCCAAAUACGACGUCGUUUAUCAUUUCCACUGCAUCAUCUUCUCGUCUCUCUCUCGCUCUUGCUCUAGCCCUGCCUCGGUCCAGCAUUAAACCCAUCUCUCUCUCUCUCUCAAUGAAGCAUUCUCGCUUCAGUUCGCUGUUCAAUUUGUAUUCUCGUUUCGGUUUCCGAAACGUACCGGGCGUUUCGCUGUACUCGACGGCUACAGAUCCCACAUAUCAUCAUAGAAAGUGCUGGAAUGGUGCCCUGAACAACCUCUACGGUCGGAUUUCUCGAGUCGGAGAUCGCAAUGCAUGCAUUUUGCCGAUUCUCGACGAAUGGAUUGAAGAAGGCGGAAACGCAGAGAAAGAUGACCUCGUCACCAUAAUCAAGGAGCUCAGGCAAUUCAAGUACUAUAAGCACGCUCUUGAGGUAGGUACUAAUUUCUGUUUGGUUGCUCAGAAAGUGUGGAAAUGGAAUUCAUUUAGGGUCUUUAUUUGGUUUUGUAUCUUUAAUUUAUCAAAUAUUAUGUUCAACUCGGUAAAAUUGAAUUGUGAAUGGAUUGAAAUUCAAAUUAUGCUAUAGAGUAGCUUAAUUCUGUUAGCUUAACUGCUAAAUGGGAGUGCUUUCAUUGUAAUUUGGAGGAUUUAGACUGCUAAUGGUGAGAGCAAUGCUAUAUAGACUUCAAAAUAAGUCAGCCCAAGUAGCAAAGUUUUCAUCUUUUUCAUCUUCUUCAUAUUUGGAUUUCUGAAGAGAGAUUGUAUGGUAUGUUGGCAACCCCAGAUUCUGAAAAUUGUUUUUGGUUUAUUGAUUCGCAGGUAUCUAUGUGGAUGACUGACAAAAGGUACUUCAGCCUUAUGAAGGCUGAUGUUGCCAUCCGGCUGGACUUGAUUUCAAAAGUUCAUGGAAUUGAACAAGCUGAGAAUUAUUUUGAAAACAUUCCAAAACAAUUGAAAGCUCUCGAGGUUUACUGUACUCUCCUCAACUGCUAUGCCCAUGUAAAACUUGUGGAAAAAGCCGAGGCCACCAUGCAGAAGAUGAGGGAUCUGGGGUUCGCCAGGACACCUUUGGUCUAUAACGCUUUGCUCAAUUUGUAUUAUAAGACUGGAAACACUGAUAAAUUUGACGUUCUGCUGAAUGUAAUGGAAGAGAGUGGCAUCAGUUGUGACAGAUGCACAUAUGGGAUCCGUCUCAGUGCAUAUGCUGCUGCUUCUGAUCAUGAGGGAAUUGACAAGGUUGUGGCAGAAUGGGAAUCCAAUCCUGGGUUCCAGGUGGAUUGGAUUAAUUAUUCCGUUGCGGCAAAUGGUUAUGUGAAAGUAGGAAAUGUGGAAAAGGCUUUGGAAAUGCUAGAGAAGUCUGAAAAACUGAUAUCAAGCUCUGAAAGACCGAGGGCAGUAUAUGAGCACCUUAUGACUCAAUAUGCAGUAAUAGGGAAGAAAGAUGAUGUUGUGAGACUCUGGAAACUUUACAGCAAGCACAUGAAAAUAUACAAUAAGGGUUAUAUAGCCAUAAUAACCUCACUCUUGAAGUUUGGUGAUGUUGAAAGUGCUGAGAAGAUCUACGAAGAAUGGGAAUCCAGGGAAUUAACUUUUGAUAUUCGUAUACCUAAUCACUUAAUUGGUGCUUAUGCCAGAAGGGGCCUUUUUGACAAGGCUGAAGCCUUUCUUAACAGGAUAAUACUUAAGGGUGGGAAACUGGAUACACGGUCAUGGUUUACUUUGGCAAGAUUGUAUCUUGAUCGUAAUCAAAUUGAGAAGGCAGUUGAGUUGAUGAAGAGAGCACUUUUGACUGAGGGGCCUCAGUGGAUGCAUGACAAGGGUGUUUUGGCUGUCUGUUUGCGACACAUGAAAAAGAGAGCAGAUCUGGAGGGAGCGGAGGAGUUUAUAAGACAGCUCGGGGAUAAUUGUGUUAUCCCCGUAAGUGUUCAGGAGAGAUUGUUGGAUUAUAUUAAUAAAGAUGAUUCAGUCUCUAGAACCAGGUGAAGUGGAAUGGGAUGAUCUGAAUGGAGAUAAAGAAACAAGUGGACCUUUAGAAGCCGAGGGGACUAGUAGUAGUUAGGAUUAGAGACUCCUGAAAAUUUAGGUAAAGGCAAGUCAACAGCAGGGACUUGUAAAGAUGUGCGUGAGGAUGAAGCUGACGUGUAUUCAAGAUAUCAUUUUUCUGUCAAUGAAGAUGUUGCUUUUGUUUCUCUAAUCUGAUCAUGAAGUUUGCUGCAUAUAUAGAGGACUUGAAUGAAUUUUAUUUUGUAUUUUUCCUAUUCAUGAAGAUGCAGAAAUUCCCUGAACAAUUUUCUGGUACUAUUGGCAUGCUUGUGUCUACUAAAAACCACUCUUGAACUGCAAUUUUGAGGUUCCUGAAGAUUUCUUUGUAUAAAUAAGCUGUCAUCUACAUACCCAACAAAGGGAAAUUAAUAAUGAGCAGUAAAAAGACACAAACCCAACUCAUUUAAAAUUGAUCAACAAUUCCAGCAAUUGAGAUGUAGUGAAGUAGAGAGUGGGGAAUAGCUCAGUUGAUUGAGCUCUUUGGCCUCAAACUCUCUGGACAGAGGCUUGAAUCUCCCUUCCCAAUCGCUUGUACUAAAACAAAAUGCGGCUAAGUAAUUAAAGCUCCUACUAAAAAUAAGUGUUUAGCGGAGGGUAAUAUUGGUAUUUUGCAUUUUUUUUAUUUAUCUGAUUCUGGAUUUUAUUAAGUGACAAAAUAAACCAACCUCCUAUCGAAAACCCUGCCAAAAUGGAACAAAACCUCUCGGCCCAAACCCUCCCCAACUCACUCUCCAACCACCAAGACGACGACGAGGCCGCCGCCGACGACAAUGACCCACCGUCCCUAAGCCUUCAAGCCCUAGAAGCUCUCAAGGAGUUCCUAGCGGAGCAAAGCCAGCCCUUACCUGAUACCGCCGCCGAGAGCCGAGCCGCAGACUCGGCAGCUCCAGCUCUCAUCUCCGAAGACUGGAGACUGAGCCAGUUCUGGUACGACCCCCACACCGCCGAAACCCUAGCCCAAGAGGUCCUCACUCUCUGCAACUCGCUCCCCGACUCGGCCGCUAGGGUUGCUUGCGUCGCUUGCCCCUCACUCUACGCCUACCUCAAGGUCCCUUUCAUCUUUUCGCUCUCUGGGUUUUAAUUUAAUGUUUGUUUGUUUUUAAAUUUAAUAUUUUUACUGAUUUUUAUUUAUUUAUUUAUUUCUAUUUUCAGAACAAUGAUUCUGAGGUGCCUGUGCAACUGCUUGAGUAUGACAAGCGGUUUGAGCAGUACGGGAGUGAUUUCACGUUUUAUGAUUAUAACCGACCUGAAGACUUGCCAUUGGAGCUCAAGCAUGCUUUUGACAUUGUAGUUGCUGAUCCCCCUUACCUGGUGAGCAAAAUUAUGCUUCUUUAUGUCAUUUGGUUCAGUGUUAUAACUUAUGGGUAUGUGUGUUAUGUAGCAAAAUAAUUUGAAUCUGAGUCUUCAUGCACUCUGUAUGAAUUAAGAUCUACCAUCGAAAUACAUUUUCGUGACUGUGUUUGUACCAUGCUUGGUGACUGCAUUGCUUUUUCUACAUCUCUCGUAUAGAGGUCGAAUCUGUAUUCAUAGGUAGGACUGUGAAGUUGUGGUUAUGAACCAAUUGCUGAUAUAGUAUAACUGGUGUUUACAGAGUCGGGAGUGCUUGGAGAAAGUCGCUCAAACUGUUUCAUUUCUUGCACGAUCAGAAAAAUCUUACCUGCUUCUCCUCACAGGUAGACAUUUCCCUCCUAUAUAAUUGGCAAAACAUAAUAAGAAUAUUGCCAUUCCUGCACAAGCUACACUGUAAUUACUGUGCUACAAGACAGGAUUAAAACAUUUCACCAAUGAGAUUUUUGUUAUUGGAAUCAGAAAUUGAACAAGUGUUAUUGCUAGCACCUUUCAGUUUGUUGCAACUAACUGUUAUAUGAUGACUUGCAGGAGCGGUGCAGAAAGAGAGAGCAGCCGAACUCAUGGGAUUACAUCCAUGUGGUUUUAGGCCUCAACACUCUAGCAAACUAGGAAACGAGUUUCGGCUAUUCACAAACUAUGAUCCUGCAAUGAGAUUAGAAGGGUGGGAUGUUGAGAAGUAGGAACUCUGUAUUCUCGUGUGACCCUAAACUGGUAAGCAUAGAUUGGUCGGGGGAAAUUUCUUUCUUCCGACUCGGUAUUAUGUAGUGGAAUCUUACAUUUUCUGUGUGAUAAAUUUUGUUGUUCUCAAUGUCAUCUCCACAUGCUAUGAGCACAGUUAUAAUAUUCAUACUUAAUUAGGACCGAGUAUUUUGUGAACUCUGAACCGUUCUGACUUCUGAGCAUGCGGUAAUCAUUGUACUGGCAUUUUCUUUCUUUUUUACCAAGUUAUAAAUAAUGCCUAGAGCUCUAGAUGGUGGAAUGUUACUGUGGUUAUAUGGGUGAACUUUUGUCUGCAGAUUCAACUGCUGGAGAAUCAAACUGUGUCGCCUGCUAGGCAUAUUCUGGAUGCUAGAAUGAUGAUGUCAGAAUCUGUCAUGUGGCAUCAAUUCAGGCUAAAGCAGAUCAGUGUACAUUGCUACUCCAGUCUGUUUUAUCAUCUGUAGUUGUUUUUCAGUUUCUUCAACUCCCCACCCAACUUUUGUAAGCCAAAUUUGAUUUGUUAUGUGUAUUUGCAUCGCCCAAAAUUUCACAGGAUAGAAAUGUAUCUUCUUUUUUUAUUGGAAGAUAAAUCUACAUCCUCAAAUCAGUACUUGCAUCUUGACAAAUAUCAAUUCUCUCUUUAUUUGCUUAGAGUCUUCGAGUUUCCUUCCUCUCACUCACUCAACAGAAUAAGAACACUGAUGGGAGGGACAGAGAAAGAGGAGGAGAGAUGAAAAGUGCUAUGCUUCCAUGUUAAUUUGUUUCAUUUGAAUGGACAAAAUAACCUUAAAUUUAACAUUAAAGGCAAAUCGGCACGUUUUAAAAGUUUGAGUGGUUCAUAACCAAAUUGAUAGUUCGAGGGGCUCAUAGCCAAAUUGAUAGUUCGAGUAGCAAAUCUGAAGGUCAUUACUUUAUGAGACAUUGCUCAUAACCUCACACCAAUCGUUGGAUGUACAGUGCAAUUCAUCAAAUGAAAAAUCUAUGUUACAAAAUACUUUUCUAACCAAUUUGCAUCUUCUACAAUGGCUCUCUUCUAGGCAAGCCAAAGUAUUCUUUCUGCAUUAGAGACGACCUUAAACAUGAAUUUUGGUGCAGAGCUUCUUCAUAGGCAUCUGUUUUCGGUUGAAGAAUAUGAGUCUUGUGUCGAAUGGCGGAAUUAUGCUCGGGUUUGGAUGAGAUCUAACUCGGUGCAAAUUUGUGGAACUUUCGAAACUUUGCACUCCUUGUUCGAGAAGAUUCAAAGAAGUUACUCUCUUCACAUAGAUAUUUUAGAUACAACUCAAACAACGUGUUCCAAAUGAGAAAUUCCUUAAUUAUCAAAACAAAAUUAGGGAUUAAAACAAGAGAACCCUUCUUGGAUUUAACCCGGUGUCCAAUUUAAAUGCGGGCCUUCUCAACCCAACCCACGAUUUGUUUCAUGGACCCGACCCGCCCGUAUUUCACGAUCCGAGUUGGAAAAGAUGGAGAGUUCGAGAUCCCCGCACAACGCAAACACAAAAAAGCGAUUUGGUGCUCUCCAAGACUUACUUCCAACUAAAGUUUUUUCAAAACCAAGUCACAUAACUGCAGCAGCAGCAGCAAGAAGAAAUGAGGCCAAACAUCGUUUCCGAGGUAAAUCUCACAACUCUCCGAUGCUCUCUUUCCCAUUGGUUUUUACCUUCAACUUCGCAUAUUUCUCAGAGAGUUAUAGUUUUCUCUUAAUGUUUUGUUUGGUUGCUGAGAAAAUGCGGAAAAUUUUGAAUCUCGUUAAGUACAGCACGAGGUAAUUUUUUUCUUGGAAAACUGGCAAUAUGUUAAACAAUGGAAUUUAGUUGCUUUGAGCUUCUCAAUUUUUGUUGCUAAAAAUAUGCAGAUUUUUUUUUGGGGGGCUAAAAAUGGGCAGAUAUUUGAGUUACAUUUGUACUCUGCUCUCAUGAAUGAUCUGUUAGGAGUUUCUUACUUCUUCUUCUUCUUUGUUCUUUAUUGCACAUAUGUACUUUCAUGUUUGAGCUUGUCUUGGUUGUGUUUAGCUGCAACAUCAUGAAACUUAAAUAGACCAUUGAUUUCUUUAUUUAUUUUUUUUAUUUUGAAAUUAGUAUUUACUUGGAUAUUCAUGGCUUGCGUGUUUGUUUUUAUAUCUAAUUAAUUUUGUGUUCUAGUAAAUUUCAUAUUGAUUCUAUGUUUGGGUGUAUAGGCAGGACUGCAAACUAGGUUGGGGCAAUGGUGGGAGAGCAUUCCUUUUCUUACUUCUGCGGUGGUUGGCGUGUGUGGAACUGUUUACUUGAUCUGUCUCCUGGUUGGAUAUGACUCCUUUUACGAAAUAUGCUUUUUGCCCUCUGCAGUUCUAUCAAGAUUUCAAGGUAAAUUGUUGAAACUGAAAUCUGACAUGAUUGGUACAUUCAUUGGUCAGUUUUGAAUUUAUUAGUUAUUGGAAAGAAGUCCAAUUUUCCCAACCUCUUUCCUGGGGUUAAACAUGCCCUUCCCUGCCCCUCAUUCUCACACUAUUAUUCUUGAUGUUUCACUUCUGGAUAUAAUUGAGGAUUGUGCAACUUAACAUCUUUGUUAUUCUUCUGUUCUGAUUUCUAUAAUUUUGAUGAUGCUACUAAAAUUUUACUUUGCCACAAAGCAGAGGUCCAUCAUUUUUUUUUUUGGUCAAACAUCAUUUCAAGUUAUGUUCAAGUUCACAUGAUUUUGGUAAUAGACCUUAUGAUUUGUAGUCCUUUAUACUAAUAAACAAAUUAAGAUUAUUGUAUCAUGUUUUAUAUUCUUCUGGUGUUGUCACUAUUUCGCCAAUAUUGGAGAUACUUUGUUGCAUGAAUGUGGAGGCUUGAAGUUUUAAGAUUAAUUAAGUGACUUUAACACCAUUAGUACUGUUUAGCUGUUUUGGUUGCUCCCUUGGAUUCUUUUAUGUAUAAGUCCAGCACACUGGGCUAGAAACCUGCCAGUAGUUUCUUCGAUUUAGUAUUGCCCUAGAUCAUGAUCUUUUAUGAUCAAGCUACAACCUGUAUUUUAGUUCCUCUAUUAUCAAGCUACAACACAAUCUUUGUGUCACCUGCCUGGCCCAAUUUGAAGCCUCGAAUAGAGAAUUGAACAGCUGUUCGUUUUGAUCUCUCUCUUUUUCGUCAAUCAAAAGCUCAAUUUAGCUUAUGUUUAAUAAUCAACAAAAAUUAUUUGGGUGAUUUGUUCUGUUAAUAGAUAAAAAGAAUAGCCUGUUAUUGCAUGCACUCUGACACAUCUCAUGGUCACUUUCUGUUCUCCUUUUCAGUCUACAGGAUUUUCACCUCCAUUAUCUUUCAUGGUUCAGUGCUUCAUGUAUUGUUCAACAUGAUGGCAUUGGUUCCUUUGGGUUCUGAGUUGGAGAGAAUCAUGGGAUCUGUCCGCAUGUUGUACAUAAUCUUUCUUUUGGCCAUCAGCAAUGCACUGUUUCAUCUUACGAUUGCGCUUUUGGUGGCCUAUAAUCCCAUUCACUCUGAUCCGUAUCUCAUGAAUGAAUGUGCAAUAGGCUUCUCGGGAAUCUUGUUUUCUAUGAUUGUGAUAGAGACAAGUCUGAGUGGACACCAGUCUAGAAGGUUGGCUUUUCUAAUGUUUAAUUUCAAAUGUAUUACAUACCAUGGUUUUGUUUUUUCACUGAGUGAGAAUUUUGCAAAGGCUAUCUUUUCCCUAACCUAGAAUAAUUAGAUAUUCCGAAGCUUUCAUGUAUUUGAUCAUACAUAUGGGUGCUAAGACAUCCACCGCAUACACAGCUGCACAUUAGAAUUCUUUUCCCUUUUUUCUUUCAUUCUUGACAAAUGUAUUGGAUUCUACUAACUCACAAACUUUUCUCUCUGCAGUGUCUUUGGACUCUUUAACGUACCUGCUAAAUGGUAAUUACAGUAACAUGCUUAUGUGAUGUCUAAUUCUGUUCAUUUUACAUUGCCUUUUUUGGUAAUAUUUUGACAUAUUUACUUAAAUAUCUGUUUCAGGUAUGUAUGGAUCUUGCUGGUAGUGUUCCAAGUUGUUAUGACAAAUGUUUCUUUACUGGGGCACCUAUGUGGCAUUUUGUCUGGCUUUGCAUGUAAGUUUUCUCCCAUUCUAAUAUUAUUCCCCUCUUCUAUUUUGCUGUGCCAUGUUACACGAGGGAGUUGGUGACAAUUCUAUGUCUUGUCUUUACAAUACAGAUACUUACGGAUUAUUCAAUUUCCUCAUUCCCGGACCAUCCUUCUAUUCUACAAUUGAGGCCACCUCGUUGCUUGUAAGUAAACUGCUUUUGAUGAUCGAUCAAUUUGGAAACUUACUAUUAUUCUUUUAUCUUUUCCAACCUGUGCAUUCAUAAUUUGCAUGGAUGUCUAAUUGUUGUUCUUUUAAAAUAUUAUGUUUUCAGUCAACUUGUGUGAGGCGGCCUAAAUUUAUUUUGUGCACUGGUGGGAAUCCUUCAGCCUUCAUCCCUACAUAUUCAAGCCAAGGUACAGCAUCUAGGUAAGUAAUAUUUUUUUGUUUUUCAAUGUUUCCUUGUUGAAAAAUUAAGCACCUUCUGCUCUUCUUAACAGACUACAAUUAUAUGUACUAUAGUCGUAAAAUGAUAUAUUUUCUUAACCAGUGGAUUCUCUGCCGGAAGUGUCUGGAGAAACUUGUCUUCAUGGAUUCCACAGAGGGAAACAUCUGCACAGGUUUUGUUUUUCUUUUUCUUCCACUUGUGUUAAUGCUGUUUUACCCUUCAAUUCAAUCUUUAAAAUUGCACACUUCGUUGUAAUCUUUAACCCUCGGUGUUUGGUGAAUGUAGAUUAAGUUAUUGAAUUUGAUGACUUCCUAUUGUAAUAAUGCAGUCAGCACAAGACGGUCACAUGUUUCCUGGGAGGGGAAGAACACUUGGAUCUGGUCGAAAUACUGCUUCUGAUGCUAAUUCAGAAUCAAACUUACAGGUUAGACUUUUGGAUAAUAGCAACUCAGAACAUCCAUCAGACAUGGCAGUUAUUGGUACAGGACAGCAGUUAUCUGAUGGAAGGUACUAGGAAAACUUCCUGCUUCUAGGUUAACGAGCUAUUUCUGUUCAUGGAUUGUGUUUUUCAGUUUACAAGAAAUUUGGUAGUUAGUUCAUCACUUGUAAAGGCUUUCUUGUUCUUUCACCCAUGCAUUUCUAUAUUGAACGGAUUCAGAAGAGUUUUUCUCGUUGAUGAGAAAAGAUAUGUAACUGAGGUUACACUAUCGCAACAGUCUUUCACGUUGAUUAAGAUGCAUGAGUAAUUUUUUUCCAGAUGUGGAAAAGGUUAUAAUGUUAGUGGUAGUGGUGGUAAUGGUGAUUCUGGCAUUAACAUUGUUAAUGAUUAAUCACUACUAAUGGCUUGUUGUAAAGAUAGAAAAUUAUCUUGCCUAUGAUUAAUCACUACUGAUGGCAUGUUUUAGAGAAAGAGAGAGAACUUUUCUGUGCUAUGAAAUACAAAGGAAUGUCUUUACUUUUGUGACUUGGACAGUAAACCCAUCACUCCUAACCUCGGGCCUGAGUCAUGUUUAAAUAGUGCAAAAAAGAAUUUUUACAUUAGUUUGUUAUUCGAAGAGUUCCUAACCAUGCUUCUGACUGGAAACUGGUACUAUCUAUUUCCUUGAUAUUUUCAGGCGGUCAACCCUAAAUAAUACAUCAGUCGCUGCAGCAGAAGUUCCUGUGCACCAUCAGGUUUGUUCUUUUAAUCAAUUUCCUUUCAACAUCUUCAAGCUCAUCUGAUUUACACAUGUAUCUUGGUUUACUUGUCAUUUGCGUGCAGGAUUAUGUUAUUUCUGAAGAAGAAAUCCAGAAGCUUGUAUCAAUGGGCUUUGAAAGGGUAAAAAACUUGAAAAUUCCUUUUCCUUGAUCAAAUGAGCUAACCAUCCUAUAUAGUAUACAUUUUCCUUAUCUAGCUUGAUUCAUAUUCGUAGAGUUGAAGAAUGCAAGGCUGGUUAUGAAAAAUGUUUUAGGAUCGAGGAGCAUAGUUUUAUGUUCAGCCUUAUAGCUGAUGCUUGCUUUAAUGAAGAAAUCUUUGAAUGUCACUAAAUGUCUUGGUAUGGGUUACAGACACAGGUAGAAGUUGCUCUUGCAGCUGCAGAUGGGGAUCUUAAUGUGGCAGUGGAAAUUCUGAGCCAACAGGUCUGUCUUUCAAACUCAUUUGUUUCCCAAAUUGUCGACUGUUGAGAUUUCUUGGUUUAAUAAUGGGGAUUGGGAAUUAUCUGCAGGGCUAAUCCAAGCAAGCGAGCUAACUAUUUGACUUCUCAAAAUGGACCUCGGUCGACCCGGUUUGAUGGGCCCGGUUCAUUUUCACGUUUAUGUAAAGUUCCAUGUUCAUUUUCACGUUUAUGUAAAGUUCCAUAUCUGUAUACUCUGUGUAUUGUUUGAGAGCAUGCUGAGAUUAUUUGGUCUGGGGGAAGGAAGAUUCUGAAUGGGAUACCACUACACACACUUAACAUCUGUUUAAAUGAAGGCAGAUAAGUAGUUUAUAACAUUUGACAGCAAUGGAAAAACUAGAGUUGUAAUAUAACAUCCACACCUUUAGCUUUGCAUUGUUUGUUACCCAUUAUCUACUUGUAUAGUGGUUCAUUUACGGCUUGUUUGGUAGUGCUUUUCUCGAAACGCAGAUCUAAUUUGUUUUCUCAAAUAGGACUUCAAUUUUGAGUAAAAUUUUUGUUGUGCUUAUAAUAAAAGUGGUUCUAUAGCAGAAUUGCUUCUAGAUAAGGACUCCCAAAGGGGAGCAAAAGCGUUUUCUACAUAAGCAUUUGUAAUGAUUACAUGGAAAGGAGCUUUUUCAAUUCACACCAUCUGUUAUUUAUUGAUACAUUUUAUUUCUCAUAUAUAAAAACCUAAUGCUUUCCAGACUCCUUGGGUGGCUUAACAAUUACAACUGGGCAUUUUGCGUGAUGUGCGCAGUAGUCACUCACGCUUCCUAUGAAUGUUCUGCACCACCCAACAAAAAACAAAAUUAAAUUAAAUUAAAUUAAUGAGGCAAAUAAAAUAGAAUAGAUGUUGUUUGGAUUUUGCGUGACAAUUGUAAGCAGGAAUUCCAAAUGAACAUAAACAAAAAAAUCACCUCUUGAUUAUGCCAAGGCCACGGCUGCCUACAACCAAAAGAUCCACAUGCAUCUGCUCUGUGGCUUGACAAAUCAUGUCCUUCGGAUCUCCACCUAGAAUUAGGGUUUCUGCUUUGAUCUGCACAAUUACUAAAAUCGUGUUAGUUAAGUUCACCCAAAUGCAUCACAAAACCUCUCAUCUAAUUAUCUGAACCCAUAAUUAGAAUCAUUAAUUGAGAAACUAAUAAUGCAAGAGAAAUCCUUAGAUACAUAAACCAACCUGAUAAAUGAUUAAUUCACAAAAUAACAACAUAAACAUUAAAACAUCGUGUGUGUGUGUGUGUUAAGAGUGCUAAUCUAUUGAGGGAUCUUAAACUUAUGCAAAGAAUCACUGCGAGACUCGACUCGCAUUGUAUUUCCACAAUCAGAACCAUUUAUUUUUUAAGUUUCAUUCAAAUCUAUUGUAUUUCCACGAUCAGAAUCGUCUAUUUUUUAAGUUUCAUUUACAUAUUUAAAAGGAUAGACAAUUCACAAAUUUAUCAUCUACAAAUUUGAUAAACACGGUGUUUAAAAAAACACACAAAAAUAACAACUAUUUAAGCGAGUGUCAAAAUGUGAAAAUAAAGAGUCCUACAUUGAAAAGUUAAGGAAACCUAAUAAAAACUUAUAAGGAGUUGAGUUACUCCCCUUAUAGUUAAUUAGUUUUGGAGUAGAACUUUAACUUCUUUCAUGAUAUAAGAGAGAACGUGUGAGAAUGUAGAUGUAAAAAAUCUCACAUUGAAAAGUUAAAAAACCUAACCAAGGACUUAUAAGAAGUUAGAUUACUCCCUAUUCCCAAUUGAUUUGAUUUUGAAGUAGAACUUCUAACUUCCUUUAAUAUUUCAUCCUACUAAACUAAAUUAAUUACCUUCUUAUCCUUGCAAAUCUCCAAAGCGCGGGCGAGUAUAGCGGCAGCCCUCUCUUCUUGUUCCUUGCGCAAUUCACCAGACACAGCAGCAGAGAGGACGUAGUUCUGGAACGGCUGCAUAACAUAAACAAGAGUCACCAUGCUCACAUUCUCAUGGCUCCCUGCAAGAGGUGCUUCCAGGGUCGCCGUGCCUGUGCUUGUAGCCACAUCAUCGGCGUUGUCCUUGGGCAGCACAAGAAGAAGGUCAAGGGCCCACUUGAGAGCAUAGAAGCUCCCCUCACUUCCGUCUAUGGCCACCACCACCCUCAUCUUCUCCUUCUUCCUCUGUUGCUCGUCGUCCCCGCUUUGCACCACUGCCUGCUCUGCAACUAUUGUUGUCUGCAUCACUUGCUUGGCUGAGAUAUCUUCUUGUUGUGUGGUUUUGUUGGUGCUUUUGAAUGGUAUAUAUACAUACAUACAUAUAUAUUCGUCGCUCUCUCUCUCUCUUUUCAUUUUUUUUUUCCCCUUAGAGGUGAAUUUCCAUUUGUUUCUUAUUUGUUUAGAUUGGAGGUAAAAGGACACGUUUAUGUACGUGGCAAUCACGCAAAUAGAAAAUUCCAAUUCCUCAUACAAUUUUGGCAUUUCCGUGGGGUAUAACUCUUUGUGUUUUACUAUUUUGGUGUCGUGUCAUCCUCGUGACCUGUGAAAUUCUUCUCAAUUUAAAUUUAAUUCGUAAUAUGUAAACUCAAGCUUAUUUGUGAAAGUAACACAUCGUGUCCUGUUUUAUCUGUCGACACUUGGAAAGUCGGGUGGUUUUAUCUGUCGACACUUGAAUUCGGGUGGGACUUUUGAUCGGAUCACAGUCAGAUUUUUAUUGGGUCAGAACAUAAUGGAUGAUCUUCUUUUUCUUACCGAAAGAGCAUGUCACCAAAGAAGCACUGGUGUAGUAUCAGUCAACUUUUUCUGAUGACAACGUCAUAAUUGAGUAAAGGUAUUCUGUUGAGAGGGCAAAUGAACAUAAUUUCUGGGAGUAGAGAAGUUAUUACCUUGUUUGAAUGUAAGUCAGGAAUAUUUAUAAGAGAUGAAGGAGAAAUAGAACUCCUGGCAGGAGGGGUGUCUCUAGCCAUGCUGCCAUCAUGGUUAGAGGGAAUGAUUUUGGCAUCAUGACUUCUUGUGCUUGUUACAAAAGGGAGACGAGCCAAUGGGGACACCUGAAAGGGAGUAGGAAUACAUUCUCUCUCCAACCAUAUGGUGGCACAUGUUCAAGUUGGUGAGCUUUGGGAGGUGGUCCGUUACUAGGUCCCAACUACCCCUAAUUCCCGGGGUGGAUCACUAAGAGUAUCGACUCCUUACACAACAUUUUUAGAUAAAAUUUAGGAGGAGGUGAGAAAACUCAACUCCAACCAUACUCUCUUUCCAACUCUUAAAAUAUGAAGGCCUAUAGAAGUUCUUAAAUUUGAUGAGAAAGAAAGAACUCUUAGAGGCUCCCUAUAAUUAAAUGAUGCUUUACUUUAAUGCUAACUAUUUUGUAUUAUUAUUAUCCGGUGGACUCCAUUCUUUUCUAUCAUGUGAGAAAACCUUGUUUGAUUGUCAACAGCCCUAGGAUUGGAUUCAAUAGUAGCUGAAUAAAUAGAUGGGGAUUCCUUUCAUAUGAAGAGUGAGUAUUUAUACUAAACUAAAAAAAUAAAUAAAUAAUUUAUGAUUCCCUAAACUAGAGAGGAUGGUUGGAAUUGAAAUUUUAUAAGGAGCUUCUAAAAUAGCUUCCUAGUGUUUUUAGCUAAAUUUUAACUGAAAAAUAAGGAACAUGAUUAUGGAUGCUCUAAGCGACCAAUGUGGUCUCGGCCCCCCUCACCUAUUUUAUAUUUUUAUAAAUAUAUUAUAUAUAUACUAAUACUUAUAUAUAUUGAUAUAUUUUAUAUUACCUUUAAUAUUUCAAGAAUUUCAUUUUCAUGCAUACCUCUUUUCUUAAAUUUACUAAAUCUGUUACUUUUUUAUUUUAUUUUUUUUUAUAACACAAAUCCUCAAAAUCUAAUUCUUUUUCAACUAUUUCUCUUUUUCUUUUUUUUUUUGUGGACACAAAAACUUCCUCCUUCCUCUUACAACCAUGUUUGUGACUUUUGUUUAUUUUUCUUAUUCUCCAUAUAAUAUAUUAUCAAAUUCCAAUUGAGUUAAGUUACUUAAUUCAGGUUUGUUAAAAUUUAUCUUUUAUUUAUUUAUUAUUUUCUCUCCACCUAUGAUUUGUUUGGGUUUCAGAAAUUUUUUAUUAUGUUCUCAUCACAUAUGGUUUGUAUAGAUUUUGGAAAUUUUGAUUUAUUCUCUACUUUGAGUUUAGUGAAUCUUCCAAAACAAUUAUGUGUAGAUUACCAAAUGAAAAAGUUGUAAAUAUAAUAUAUAUAGCUUCAGUUGAGGGAUUCCUCAAAUAAGUUUAUUUUAAGGACACUUUUGCAGGGUCCACUCCAUAUUGUAUUUCACUAAUUUAAACUGUCUAUUUUGUAGAUACUCAUUCAAAGAUCAUCUCUACAAAAAAUCACUUUCAUAUCAUUUGACGACUCAAUUAAAUUAUUGAAAUUUUAGUAUUUUCUUAAAGCACCGUGUUCAUUAAUUUUGUAGAACACAAUUUGAUAUCGAAACGGUCUCCGAUUUGUGUAAUUUUUUGCAAGAAUGAUCUACGAAUAUAGACUUAAAAAAUAGAUAAUCGCACUUCCAAACGGACACUCUUACCUUCAACUUGCCUCCGACCGAAGGUGCAUGAGUUAACCGAUCAGUAUCUAACACUUCUUCAUUUCGUCUUUAUAUUGAUGACGAGAAGACAAAUAUGCCCCUAAUUAUACCAUAUUUGUACUAAUUACAUGAAAAUGAACUUACUAUUUGACUUCUCAAAAUGGACCUCAGUCGACCCGGUUUGAUGGGCCCGGUUCAUGUUCACGUUUAUGUAAAGUUCCAUAUCUGUAUAUAUAUUCUAUAUUGUUUGAGAGCAUGCUAAGUCAAAGCACUACCAAACAUGUCCUAACUCGAAUUACGAUACAAGAAGAUAACUUGAAGCACGAUGUUAUAUUACAACUCUAGUUUUUCCAUUGCUCUCAAACAUCUUAUGAACUAUACUUCUAUGCUUUCAUUUAAAUCAUUUCAACAGAAACUAGUGUGUGUAGGGAUAUCCCAUUAGCUUCGACUUAAGGCUUGUUUGAUAGUGCUUCGACUUAAGGCUUGUUUGAUAGUGCUUCGACUUAGGACCUAUUUAGUAGUACUUUGACUUAGGGCUUGUUUAAUAAUGCUUUUCUCAAAACGCCUAUCUAAUUUGUUUUCUCAAAUAGGACUUUAAUUUUAAGUAAAAUUUUUAGGGAUAUGAUUUCCCCAAUCCCUUUUUCUCUACUUACACUCCCUUUUACUUUUUAAUACUUUUUAAUCAAUUUUGUUAAUUCUCUUUCCUAUUCUACCCUUACCCUACAUUAAUUUCAUUUUACUUCACCUUUAUAUUAGUUCUUUUUCUUUAUACUUCAUUUUCCAACUUGUAUUCUAUUUUCAAUAAUUUUUUUCUUCUUUUAAUCGAGUAAGAAAUUAAUUAAUUAUUUUUUUUAAUACUAAAAAUGGAGUGUAAAUUAAAAAAUUCAAUAUUUAAAAAAAUAAUAUUUAAAAAAAAAUUAAUGUAAGAUAAGGAUAGAAUAAAAAAGAGAAAGAACAAAAUUGAUUAAAAAAUAUUGAAAAGCAAUGGAGAAAUCAGCUCCCAAUUUUUAUUGUGCUUAUAAUAAAAGUGGUUCUAGAGAAGAAGUGCUUCUAGAUAAGCACUCCCAAACGGGAGCAAAAGCGUUUUCUACAUAAGCAUUUGUAAUGAUUACAUGAAAAGGAACGUUUUCAAUUCACACCAUCUGUUAUUUAUUGAUACAUUUCAUUUUCAUAUAUAAAAGCCUACUGCUUUCCAGACUCCUUGGGUGGCUUCACAAUUACAACUGGGCAUUUUGCAUGAUGUGCACAGUAGCUACUCACGCUUCCUAAGAAUGCUCUGCACCACCCAACAAAACAAAUUAUAAAAUAAAAUAAUAAUACAAAUCAAAGACAAUAGUGCUGAUGAAAAUUAAAUAUUUAUAAUUUUUUUUUUUUGGGGAUUUCGAGUGAAUUCCAAAUGAACAUCCUGAAUUUGACAGAGAAUAAUCUGAGUUCAGUAAACAUGUAAUAAGCUGUGUCUGUGUGGAUGGAGAAAAUCACCUCUUGACCAUGCCAAGGCCACGGCUACCUACAACCAGAAGAUCCACAUGCCUCUGCUCUGUGGCUUCGCAAAUCCUGUCCUUCGGAUCUCCACGUAGAAUUAGGGUUUCUGCUUUGAUCUGCACAUCAUGUUAAUUAAGUUCGUCCAAAAUGCAUCGCUACAAACCCAUAAUUAAAAUCCUUAAUAAAAAAAAUAUAAUUAAGAAACCAACCAACCUGAUAAAUGAUUAAUUCACAACAUAACAACAUAAACAAUUUUUUUUAAAUAUCAUAACAUAAAUUUUUUUUUUUUCCUUUCUACUAGCGAUAUUCUACUUUAAUCUGAUCAUCUAACCAUCUAACCUAAACUAUAGAGAAGAGGAAAAAAGGGAUUCAAACUUGAGUGCAAAGUGAUGAGUACGUCCGCAAUUCGGCUAAGCUCAUAACAACAUAAACAUUAAAACAUCGUGUGUGUUAGUGCUAUUCUAUUGAGGAAUCUUAAAACAUAUAUGUAAGGAAUCUCUCGUUAAUUACCAUCUUAUCCUUGCAAAUCUCCAAAGCACGGGCGAGUAUAGCAGCAGCCUUUUCUUCUUGUUCCUUGCGCAAUUCAGCAGACCCAGCAGCAGGGAGGACGUAGUUCUGGAACGGCUGCAUAACAUGAAUCAGAGUCACCAUGCUCACAUUCUCAUGGCUCCCUGCAUGAGGUGCUUCCAGGGUCGCCGUGCCUGUGCUUGUAGCCACAUCAUCGGCGUUGUCCUUAGGCCCCACAAGAAGAAGGUCAAGGGCCCACUUGAGCGCAUAGAGGCUCUCGUCACUUCCGUCUAUGGCCACCAUCACCCUCAUCUUCUCCUUCUUCCUCUGUUGCUCGUCGUCCCUGCUCUGCAAACUAUUGGUGUCUGCAACACUUGCUUGGCUGAGAUUUCUUCUUCUUCUUGUUGUGUGGUUUUGCUGGUGCUUUUGAAUGGGAUAUAUAUGUAUAUAUGUCGGUCUCUUUUCCUCAAAGGUGAAUUUCCAUUUGUUUGUUUGUAUUGGAGGUACAAGGACACGUUCGUGUACGUGGCAACCAUGCAAAUAGAAAAUUCCAAUUCCUCAUGCAAUUUUGGCAUUUCUGUGGGUAUUAUCGGUAUAUGAGAUGAGAUAGACCUCGACGCAACCCUUUGUGUUUUACUAUUUUGGUGUCCUGUUUUAUCUGUGGACACUUGGAAGAUCGGUGGGUUUUAUCCGUUGACACUUGGAAGGUCGGGUGGUUUUAUCCGUUGACACUUGGAAGGCCGGGUGGUUUUAUCUGUUGACACUUGAAUUCGGGUGGUCAACUGAGGAGUUUUGAUCGGAUUCGGAAUCAGAUUUUUAUUGGGUCAGAACGUAAUGGAUGAUCUUCUUCUUCUUACCAAAGUGCAGGUCGGACUUGAGAUUUUAAAGGCCAUGACGAAGUCGAAAUUAAAUCCUAUAUAUAUAUAUAUAUAGCUUCACAUAAAAUAUUUUAUUUUAUUUUAUUUACAUGUGUGUAAAAUAUUAGAAAAUAUAGCUUUGUAUAACUAUAAUAAAAAGUUUAGACCUUUAAACAAAAUAAAUUUUAUUUUUUUAUGUCUUCAUAUAUAAGAAAAGGAUGAUUAAAGACCAAAAAAAAACAUUAAAGUACUAAAAAGCAUACCAGCAAGUGGGGACACUUGGAAGGGAUUAGGAAUGCAUUAAAUUCUCUCUCCAAUCAUAUGGAUUACCCCUUGUUGGUCUUAGUUAGAUCUACACCUUCAGCUUUGCAUUGUUUGUUACCCAUUAUCUUCUAUGAUGUGCUUCGACUUGGGGCUGUUUAGUAGUGAUUUCUCAAAACACCUAUUAAGUUCUGUAAAUGAAAAUUCCAUUGUGUUUAUAAUAAACACGUUUCUAAAGCAGAAUCGCUUUUUUGAUAGAGUAAUGCUACAGACACCAACUUAAAUACCAACUUAGUGAUACCAACUUAUUUGGCACGUGACAUGUCAACCCAUGUCAUCUAUCAUCGCCUCACUUCCCAAAUCUGGUCAUGGUUUCAGUUAACAGACUAUACAGAUUCUGGUCAUCACCCAUAUUUUUAUCCAUCUUCCUCAUUUUUAUUAGUUUGAGCCAUCUUCCAUAUCAAGCAAUACAUCACACAACCCUUCAAUGCUGCAACUGUUUCGCAAUAUUGAUACUUACCAAGGAAUUCUCUUCUCAUUUAUGUAUCAGUGUCGUGGUCAUGUAUGAGAACUUUUUUGCAUACGUGAAGGCAUAGAAGAGUGUACAAACCUCGUUGCAGGGAGAGCCGUGAAGGCUGAAAUUGCUAUACAUAUCAGAUUGGUAGAGGUCAAACGUGGGGUGUGAGUAAUGAAGAUUUUUUAAGGAGGAGGACAUGGUAGAUUUGAGAAGGAUGGAAGGCGUGGAGAAGAAUUUAUUUAUUUAGGGUUUAAGUUUUAUUUAUUUUUAACUAAAUAAUUAAGUUAAUUAUGGCAAUUUUUUUUUUAAAAUUUAACUAAUAAAAAAUAAUAUGACAAAUAACAUAAAUUUUCAUGUGUCACAUAAGUUAAUAUUAAUAAACGCUUUAAAUAAAAGUUCUUUAAUGUGUCACAUAAGUUAAUAUUAAUAAACGCUUUAAAUGAAAGUGCUUUAAAUAAAAGUUCUUUAAUGUGUCACAUAAGUUAAUAUUAAUAAACGCUUUAAAUGAAAGUUCUUUAAACGGAUACUCUUUCUACAUGAAAACUACAUGAAAACUUAAAAAACGCUUUAAAUGAAAGUUCUUUAAACGGAUACUCUUCCUACAUAGGCGUUUCGUUUACUUUUCCUACAUAAGCAUUCCCAAACGGGCACUCCUACAUGAACGUUUCGUUUACUUUUCCUACAUAAGCAUUCCCACAUAAGCAUUCCCAAACGAGCACUCUUAACUUUGACUUGCCCUUCCGACUGAAGGUGCAUGAGUUAACCGACACUUCUCCAUUUCGUUGAUGACGAGAAGACAAGAAAUGCCCCUAAUUAUAUCUAUUAACAAUCUGAAAUUGGUCAACGUAUUAUGUACGUAGCUGGGAGUUUUGUAAUUAGAUGAACAAAAAACUUACCAGAAGAAAACCAUUCAUCAUAAUAAUAAUUACAUGAAAAGGAACUUUUACAGUUUACACCUUCUGCUCUUGAUACAUUUCAUAAUAAACAAAUAAAAACUCUAAUAAAAAGCUACUUCUUUCCAGACUCCUUUGGUGGCUUUCCAGACUCCUUAGGUGGCUUUCCAGACUCCUUAGGUGGCUUCACAAUUACAACUGGGCAUUUUGCAUGAUGUGCGCAGUAGUCACUAACGCUUCCUAAGAAUG
rnacentral:lncRNA from 1 species